AGUACUUCUGUUUAUUUCCUGUUUCCACAUUAUGAAGUGUCCUUUGUGUAUUUGACAGAACAAGUAUCAUUCUCUCCCUUAGUUUCGCAACUGUGAAAAUCUGGUGUUACAGAAACUGUAAAGCUAUGGGAAUUGUCUAGAAAGUGAAAGGAGCCUUGCAAAUCACUGGAGAGAUCCUCAUCUUGGAAAAUAUAGUCAGUCUAAACCUGGCAACGCUCUACCUGCUGAGUACAACCCUCCAGGUAUACAGAAGAUAGAAGGGUAAGUCCUCAGCAGGUCUUUUUUAUUGCUUGUUUUUGUAGCAGCAAAACCCAAAACUUUUGUGCAUCCACGUAUUCUGUAAGUCCAAACUGAAAUUAAUCAAACUGGUUUUGGAAGAUAAGUAAAUCUGUGGUUUCCUGACCAGCUGGAUUUCAUCAGAUUUGGAGAGAAGUAGUAGUAUGUAUCCAGCAUUCUUUUUGCUAUGGCUUCUGGGACUGUAGUAAAAUAGAAUUUGAGUG
rnacentral:lncRNA from 1 species